GUGGGGAAUAUUGGGCAAUGGGCGCAAGCCUGACCCAGCAACGCCGCGUGAGGGAAGAAGGCUUUCGGGUUGUAAACCUCUGUCCUUGGUGACGAAACAAAUGACGGUAGCCAAGGAGGAAGCCCCGGCUAACUACGUGCCAGCAGCCGCGGUAAUACGUAGGGGGCUAGCGUUGUCCGGAAUUACUGGGCGUAAAGGGUGCGUAGGUGGCCUUUUAAGUUGGAUGUGAAAUACCCGGGCUUAACUUGGGGGGUGCAUCCACAACUGGGAGGCUAGAGUGCAGGAGAGGAAAGCGGAAUUCCUAGUGUAGCGGUGAAAUGCGUAGAUAUUAGGAGGAACACCAGUGGCGAAGGCGGCUUUCUGGACUGUAACUGACACUGAGGCACGAAAGCGUGGGGAGCAAACAGGAUUAGAAACCCCUGUAGUCC
rnacentral:rRNA from 1 species